rnacentral:rRNA from 1 species
UAGGCGUAAAUGAUGCGAGUUAAGUGUGGGGGCAUCUACGAGAUGGCCCUGUGCUGUAGGGUAGCCGUUAAACUCGCUGCCUGGGGAGUACGGUCGCAAGGCUGAAACUUAAAGGAAUUGGCGGGGGGAGCACCACAACGGGUGGAGCCUGCGGUUUAAUUGGACUCAACGCCGGGAAGCUCACCGGAUAAGACAGCGGAAUGAUUGCCGGGCUGAAGACCCUGCAUGACCAGCUGAGAGGUGGUGCAUGGCGUAGUCGUGU